CGACGCUGGCGGCGUGCCUAAUACAUGCAAGUCGAGCGGACAGAUGGGAGCUUGCUCCCUGAUGUUAGCGGCGGACGGGUGAGUAACACGUGGGUAACCUGCCUGUAAGACUGGGAUAACUCCGGGAAACCGGGGCUAAUACCGGAUGCUUGUUUGAACCGCAUGGUUCAAACAUAAAAGGUGGCUUCGGCUACCACUUACAGAUGGACCCGCGGCGCAUUAGCUAGUUGGUGAGGUAAUGGCUCACCAAGGCAACGAUGCGUAGCCGACCUGAGAGGGUGAUCGGCCACACUGGGACUGAGACACGGCCCAGACUCCUACGGGAGGCAGCAGUAGGGAAUCUUCCGCAAUGGACGAAAGUCUGACGGAGCAACGCCGCGUGAGUGAUGAAGGUUUUCGGAUCGUAAAGCUCUGUUGUUAGGGAAGAACAAGUGCCGUUCGAAUAGGGCGGCACCUUGACGGUACCUAACCAGAAAGCCACGGCUAACUACGUGCCAGCAGCCGCGGUAAUACGUAGGUGGCAAGCGUUGUCCGGAAUUAUUGGGCGUAAAGGGCUCGCAGGCGGUUUCUUAAGUCUGAUGUGAAAGCCCCCGGCUCAACCGGGGAGGGUCAUUGGAAACUGGGGAACUUGAGUGCAGAAGAGGAGAGUGGAAUUCCACGUGUAGCGGUGAAAUGCGUAGAGAUGUGGAGGAACACCAGUGGCGAAGGCGACUCUCUGGUCUGUAACUGACGCUG
rnacentral:rRNA from 1 species